GGGAUUUUGUGUAUACAAUACUAGUGGAGUGUCGGACUUCUAGGAAACUACCACCCAACAACAGGUGGUAGUCAUGAGUCACCCUACAGUACAGGUGGUAGUCAUGAGUCACCCUACAGUACAGGUGGUAGUCAUGAGUCACUCUACAGUACAGGUGGUAGUCAUGAGUCACUCUACAGUACAGGUGGUAGUCAAGAGAGUCAAUUGUUUGACAAAUCUACUACAGUGGUACACAUUUGAUACUAAG